rnacentral:rRNA from 1 species
GACGAACGCUGGCGGCGUGCCUAAUACAUGCAAGUCGAACGAACUCUGGUUUUUGAUUGACGGUGCUUGCACCUGAUUGAUUAAACAUUUGAGUGAGUGGCGAACUGGUGAGUAACACGUAGGAAACCUGCCCAGAAGCGGGGGAUAACACCUGGAGACAGAUGCUAAUACCGCAUAACAACUUGAACCGCAUGGUUCGAGCUUGAAAGAUGGCUCUGCUAUCACUUCUGGAUGGUCCUGCGGCGUAUUAGCUAGAUGGUGAGGUAACGGCUCACCAGGGGAAUGAUACGUAGCCGACCUGAGAGGGUAAUCAGCCACAUUGGGAAUGAGACACGGCCCAAACUCCUACGGGAGGCAGCAGUAGGGAAUCUUCCACAAUGGACGAAAGUCUGAUGGAGCAACGCCGCGUGAGUGAAGAAGGGUUUCGGCUCGUAAAACUCUGUUGUUAGAGAAGAACAUAUCUGAGAGUAACUGUUCAGGUAUUGACGGUAUCUAACCAGAAAGCCACGGCUAACUACGUGCCAGCAGCCGCGGUAA